rnacentral:lncRNA from 1 species
CAACUCUCAUGGAAAGACUACUGUUAAAGUGCUGUGUGAAGAACAGAGGCACUUUAUUAAAAGAUCUGUAUAUUUUAUAACUUGCUGGUUGAAUAAAUAAUAGUUAUCAUAGAGCUAAAGACCUUAUCUUUACAAAUAAUGAGAAAAAUGGGGUCUUCGGGGGCUUUCCCGUUUAAUGCUACUUAAUGUUUUGGUGUUGAUGCUGAGUCUGACCAGUGGACCCUUCAAAGUUCUAGCAGAACUUUAAACAAAGCAGUCAAUCAUAUUUUCUUACUUUCUAAAAAUAAAAAGAUAAUGCUAAAUUAGGAUUAAAGUAGACAACAUGAAGAAAAA